rfam:Solanum tuberosum cultivar DM 1-3 516 R44 scf00378_20, whole genome shotgun sequence.
UUGGAAGAUUUGAAGACUUUAACUUGUAUACUUGGAAGAUUUGAAGACUUAAACUUGUAUACUUAGAGGAUUUGAAGACUUCAACU